rnacentral:lncRNA from 1 species
GGUGAGGAUCCCCAGUUUGAAGGGAGGGGACUAGGGUCAGGUAGGAAAAUGGGGCCUUUAUGAAGAAAGGGGAGGUUAUUUGGGCCACUCCUCUGGAGGGAUAGAGGGCUCCAGGAAGAUCUGCAUCCCCAAAACCUGGAAACAAGACUGUUCUUUAAGAAUAAAAAUCCACAUGGGGCUUGAGGCCAAGAACAGCCCUUGUUGCCACCAACAUGGAGACUUUGUACCAUAUCCCAUUCUUAGUGCUCGAGUGUUCCAACCUGAAGUUGAAGAAGCCACCCUGGCUGCACAUGCCAUCAGCCAUGACUGUGUAUGCUCUGGUGGUGGUGUCUUACUUCCUCAUGACUGGAGGAAUAAUUAUAUGAUAUUGUUGAACCCCCAAGUAUUGGCUGAUGAACGUGGGCAUCAGAGGCCAGUAGCUUUCUUGGCCUACAAAGUAAAUGGACAGUAUAUUAUGGAAGGAUUUGCAUCCAGCUUCCUGUUUACAAUGGGAGGUUUAGGUUUCAUAAUGCUGGACCAGUCGAAUGCACCAAAUAUCCCAAAACUCAAUCGAUUUUUUUUCUUCUAUUCAUUGGAUUCGUCUGUGUCCUACUGAGUUUUUUCAUGGCUGGAGUAUUCAUGUGAAUGAAACUGCCGGGCUAUCUGAUGGGUUAGAGCGCCUUUAAGAAGAAAUCAGUGGAUACUGGAUUUGCUCCUGUCAAUGAAGUUCUAAAGGCUGUACCAAUCCUCCAAUAUGAAAUGUGGGAAAGAAUGAAGAGCAGCAGUAAAAGAAAUACCUAGCGAAAAAAACAGGAAGCAUAUUGAAGCUCGGACUAGAAUUUCUUCUUGGUAUCAGAGAGACAAGUUUAUCACAGUAUUUUUUUUUUUCCUGCUGACCUAUUGAUAAUACCAACAAUGUUGAGUGGCAUUUUCUUCUUAGUUUUUAAUUUCUUAAAGAAAAUAUACUCCAUAUCUGCAGGGAAAAAAAUAAAAAUCCACACCUGAGAACAGAUCCAUACAACCUGCUUACAAAGAACAGCUCCUGUGCUACCUGAGGCUGAUUUAUUUGAAGAACAAAAGGAAGAGAGACAAUUUAGUGUAGACAAGUGCUAUUCAAUAGAACUUUUUGCAGCAGUGGAAAUAUCCAUAAAUCUGCAGUAUCCAACCAAACUAGCCACAGACAGCUGCUGAGCAAUUGAAAUGAAGCUGGCACAACUAAGGAACUGAAGUUCUUAUUUUAAUUCAACUUCAAAUGGUCACAUGUCACUAGUGACUACCACACUGGACAGUGCAGGUGUAGACGGAGUUCAGAUCAGACUCCUGAAACUUAAUGGCUCUAACCUUAGGCAAGUUACGUUAACAUCUAAGCCUCAAUCCCUCCAAGUAGAAUGGGUGCACCUAAAUCAUAGGGUUGUCCUGUUGUCCUGAGCAACAUUAUGUAAAGCACUUAGCCCAGAGCCUAGCACAUAGUUAUCUAGAGUUGGGAACGUCACUCCUGGUGUGCAUGUCCAGACCCUACCCGGGAGAAGGGCCUAACCUAUGACUUUAGAACCCUCAGUUGCAGGUGUGCAUGUUCCAGCCAACACUCCACUCUGAGUGCAGGCUCAUCAGGACACCAUAUGGUUGUAAACUGGCUGCCAUGUCCCAAUCCUUCCAGCUCUUGAGGGUCAGUUCUCACCUUAUGAACAAAUUAACAGGCUCUGGACCUAUAAGAUCAAGGACCACUGCGCCCCCUGGCCACCCCACCGCCCCCCCCCAACUUUGAUCUGAUUGACUUUGGCUUCCACCUACUGUUUAAAAUGUGUAUGUUGGGGGAGUAGGGACAGCACGGGGGAGGGGUUUACUUUCCUGACUCUAGCCCAGGACAUUUGGUGUUUUUGAAUAGGCACCAUUCAGCCUUGCUUCAGUAUUAGGAAUAAGAUACUUUUUAUUCCAUCCUCUAUGGAGACAAAAAGCUGCUCCUCCUUUGAGUACUGACCUACAUAGAUUUCCAUUUCUCUCUUCAGCCUCAGGCCAAACAAACAACCGGACAGGGCAGCAGAACAAGGCUGUCUCCUCAGGAUCCUGCCAAAGGCACUGUCCUCUCCAACCUGGACCCAGCCCCACUUGCCCUUAUUGGUUGCUUACACCCAGAGUGCACACUCACAGGAAAGGGCCUCUGCUGGCUGCAGGUGAUCAUCUUGUCCCUUCUCUGCCUUAGUGUGUGUUAUUGCCAUUUCAAUGUCAGUGGUUUUUUAUGUAUUUUCUUCCAGUCUUUGCUGCUGAGAUCUGACUGUAUAUACUAUUUUGUAUCCUUUCAUGUAUUUCUUUCAUGUAUUUCAAUGCAGCCCUCAACAUCAUCAUCAUAAAUCUCUCCAGCAGAAUGCUGGAGGCCUCCCUCUUCUGAACCUCUACAUGCUGCUGGCUGGCAUCAAGCAGAGGUCAUCACUGGGUGCUGAACAGGUCAGCUCCCUAGGGCAAUGUGAGCAAAGUGUUGUGGCUCAUCCUCGAUCCUUUAUGCCCUUUUGGCAAGAUUCCUUUCUCUUCUCAGUCACAGCAGAUGGACACAUAAUCUUGUUCUCCCAGGGGCUGCAUUCUCAGUAGUCUUUUCCCUGCUCCUUGGGCGCCUGGUCAGGGAGGUUUGUACAAGCCUGCGCACACACAGCAGUCUGUCACGAGGCUGGGCCAACCUUUUUUUUUUUUUUAAACAGACUCUUGCUCUGUCAUUCAGGCUGGAGUGCAGUGGUGCAAUCUCAGCUCACUGCAACCUCUGCUUCCCGGGUUCACAAGCAAUUCUCAUGCCUCAGCCUCCCAAGUGGCUAAGACUUAACAAACAGGCACACACCAUCACUCGCAGCUAAGUUUUUGUAUUUUUAGUAGAGACCACGUUUCGCCAUGUUGUCCAGACUGGUCUCAAACUCCUGGCCUCGAGUCAUCCACGCACCUCAGCCUCCCAAAGUGCUGGGAUUACAGGCGUGAGCCAUGGCGCCCAGCCUGGGCCAACCUUUUCUGAGCCAUAGUCCAGCUGUACUACAGCUGUAUCCAAAAGGUACCAUGUAUCUCCCAGGGUAACCUGAAGACCUAACUGGGCAUACUAACUGUCCUCAGAUUUCAGUUCUUUAAGGCCCAUCUCUUCUAGAUCAGUGUAAAUAUCUGAACUCACUUGGUGCUUCAACCCAAUUGGUCUUGGGAUUCAUCCUUUACCUACCCAGCUCUCAUUCUCUUCUAGGUUGUUCCAUGGCCUCUUCCAUAUAUUACAUUUGUGGUCUUGAGCAAGUUAGUUAGUUACAACAACACUGAGCAUCUUGACCAAGGUCACUUGGCCCAACCACAGGCUAAUCCCAGGCCAUGUGCACAUCCCAGGAUUAGCUUGUGGUUUAUCAGUUGUCAAUUUUUUUUUUUUUUUAAUACAGGGUCUCACUCUGUCACCCUGGCUGGAGUGCGGUGGCGAUCAGAGCUCACUGCAGCUUCAAUCUCCUGGCUCAAGUGAUCCUCCCACCUCAGCCUUCCAAGUAGUUGGGACUACCCACAUGCACCACCAUGCACGGCUAAUUUUUUGGUUUUUUUGGGUUUUUUGUUUGUGUUUUUUUUUGUUUUGUUUUUUGAGACAGAGUCUCGCUCUUUCGCCCAGGCCGGACUGCAGUGGCGCAAUCUUGGCUCACUGCAAGCUCCGCCUCCCGGGUUCACACCAUUCUCCUGCCUCAGCCUCCCGAGUAGCUGGGACUACAGGCACCCGCCACCACGCCUGGCUAAUUUUUUGUAUUUUUAGUAGAGACGGGGUUUCACCGUGUUAGCCAGGGUGGUCUCGAUCUCCUGACCUCGUGAUCUGCCCGCCUCAGCCUCCCAAAGUGCUGGGAUUACAGGCGUGAGCCACCGCACCCGGCCCUUGUUUGUUUUUUUAAGUAGAGACAAGGUCUCACUACAUUGCCCAGGUUGGUCUCAAACUCCUGAGCUCAAGCAGUCUUCCCACCUUGGCCUCCUAAAGUGUGGAAAUUAUAGCAUGAACCACUGUCAGGCUCUUUUGUCAGUCCUAUCAACCUCUAACAUCCUCGCACCAGACAGGACAGGUGUCUGUAUUGAAACUUUAUUACAAAAUUAUAAAGCAGAGCUCUGUAACAAAAUAAUACACAUUUGGGUUUGCUUUAACCUCCAAGUAAGUCUGAGAAAAUCUUAAUAAAAGCCACUUGAAGUAACAAUUCACAUCCAAGAGAUUUCCACAAAUUUAUACAAUGUAUAUUGAGCACUAGUUCCUGUACAGCUUAUUCUUAUUAGUUUGGAUCCAACUAUUCCAAUGUAUUAUGAACCAGUCAGCUAUCUGUCUUUUGAAACAAGUCUUAACUGAAAUCUCAGAGUAAUCAGCAAAAGCUACGGAAUAAUUCUAAGAAUUAGAUGUUUCCAUAUCAUUAAAACCAAGGAUCCAUGAGGGGCAGAAGGGAGGAUUCAAAGAUUUAAAAAAAAUCAAAUUUUAGACCUUGGUUAAAUAUUAACUGGAAUGGGAUCUUGGAACUCCCAACUUUAAUUUGGUGUAAUAAAAAUGAUGCAAAAAAAAAAAAAAUCAGGGUUGUUUGACACCUUUUUUCCUAAAGGGAAACCUUCACCAAAAGGGGAUAAAAGAUUUAAAGGCAAAAUGAGUAAACAACCUCAGUUUUAAUUCUUACUGAGGUUACUAACCAGCUAUCAGUAUAUUAUUUUCGAUUU